AACGAACGCUGGCGGCGCGUCUUAAGCAUGCAAGUCGAACGGCAAGAGAGGAGCUUGCUUCUCUCCUAGAGUGGCGGACUGGUGAGGAACACGUGGGUAAUCUACCCUUAAGAUGGGGAUAGCUGCUAGAAAUAGCAGGUAAUACCGAAUACACUCGGCAUAUCACAAGAGGUGUUGAGGAAAGGAAGCUACGGCUUCGCUUGAGGAUGAGCUUGCGUCCCAUUAGCUAGUUGGUGAGGUAAAGGCCCACCAAGGCGACGAUAGGUAUCCGGCCUGAGAGGGUGAACGGACACAUUGGGACUGAGAUACGGCCCAAACUCCUACGGGAGGCAGCAGCUAAGAAUAUUCCGCAAUGGACGGAAGUCUGACGGAGCGACGCCGCGUGGAUGAAGAAGGCUGAAAAGUUGUAAAAUCCUUUUGUUGAUGAAGAAUAAGGGUGAGAGGGAAUGCUCAUCUGAUGACGGUAAUCGACGAAUAAGCCCCGGCUAAUUACGUG
rnacentral:rRNA from 1 species